AACUCUUUGAAGCAUUUCCAGCAAAACCCUUAGAGAGGGACCUGGAGCAAGGCGUGGGGAGUGAAGGCUGUGCCAAGCCGAGAUCAACAUCGAAGCCUUGAGCCAAUUAAGGAACAACAUUAAUGGGCUCUCUGGGAAUCCUGCUAAGCCUUCCAUGCCAGAAAGGAUGAUGCCCACAGCACAGGGCUGAGCUAAGCAUUAAAAAACUAGAGAAAUAAAAGCA
rnacentral:lncRNA from 1 species